rnacentral:rRNA from 1 species
GACGAACGCUGGCGGCGUGCUUAACACAUGCAAGUCGAACGAUGAAGCUGGAGCUUGCUCCGGUGAAUCAGUGGCGAACGGGUGAGUAACACGUGAGCAAUCUGCCCUUGACUCUGGGAUAACUGCGGGAAACUGUAGCUAAUACCGGAUACUUUCACUGGAAGGCAUCUUCUGGUGAAGAAAGAAUUUCGGUCAAGGAUGAGCUCGCGGCCUAUCAGCUUGUUGGUGAGGUAACGGCUCACCAAGGCGACGACGGGUAGCCGGCCUGAGAGGGUGAGCGGCCACACUGGGACUGAGACACGGCCCAGACUCCGUCGGGAGGCAGCAGUGGGGAAUAUUGCACAAUGGGCGCAAGCCUGAUGCAGCAACGCCGCGUGAGGGAUGAAGGCCUUCGGGUUGUAAACCUCUUUUAGCAGGGAAGAAGCGAAAGUGACGGUACCUGCAGAAAAAGCACCGGCUAACUACGUGCCAGCCGCCGCAGUAA